CUAGUACAUCAACAAAUAUUUUUUUUCGAGAGUAAGCCUAGGCGUACCAUAUUUUUAUAGAAGAUAGAAGUUGAAUUACAAGACACUACGACUUGCUGCGAACAGCAAGUGUAGCAAGACUCCACACCCGAGCUAAUCAAUAGAUUAGCCACCACAACAAUUACGAACACAACGCAAAGGGCCUACCCUAAACCAAUCCUCUAGCCGCGUCACAACAAAUGCCGAACACCACUAAGAGCAACAACUUCAGCCGGGCUCUCUUUGCCAACGCGCUACCCACCCUUAAAUGCGUAGGAGGAGACGGCAAGUAGGUAGCGGGACUCGGCCGGACCUGAACAAAGCCAUCGUCUUGGGGCACCGGCAGCAGCGUACAUAGCGCCCAUGAAGAUCACUCGGACCAGCAGCAAGCACCGGAGAACCACAUCACAGAACCGCCAAGCCAAGUCUCCGUCCACGAUGCUCUCAACAGAGUAACGACGUCAAGACGCCGCCAUCGCCGAUCCUACUACGGACCAAGGCUUUCGCCCGGAGACCACAACCCAUCAAGAGGAGGAGAUGCCGACAGACUUCGGCGAUGCCUCCAAAGAGAGGAACGACACCCACAGGCGCCGUCGUCGCCAGCUCUAACCAAAGUUAAGCAGAAUUUUCAUCCAAACCAUCGGACACCUCCCACCCCUACCAUCGGAGCCAAACAGUCGAUGCGAGGCCACACCGCCGCUGCCACAGCACCUUGCCGUCAUGCUCCAGCUGUUGCAGGACACCGACCCCUCGCACGGCCAGGAGCACGCAGACCAACCUCCAGCUCCUACACGUAUGAAGAAGAAGCACCAGCACCACCACCACUCCAGCUUGGCCAGGAACCGCCGGCCACAGGCAGGGCUGGAGACGCCACUCCUGGCAGUCAGCAACCAGCCGAGCCGCGGCUGCGCCCCAGGAGCACGCACGCGAGAGACCAUCGCACCACCGCCUUCACGCGCCCGCUAACCGCAGCUCUCCCCGCCGCGAGACCCAGGAUCGAGCGCCCAGAUCCGGUCACGCAGCCACCAGCUCCCCAAGGCGCAGCCUUCCACCUCCACGCCGGCGACAGCAGGAGGCGCAUCGCGCGCCCCGGCCUCCGCAGCGUCUCCCGGCCGCCGCUCCAGGCCCAGGCCAAGAUCCGCCGCCAAGAUCCCUCCGCGCCACACCCUCCGACACCGCGCCGGCGCCCUGAGAAAGCUGCCACCCCUCACCUCCAGACCGUGCUCUUCCUCUCCCAGUGCUCCCCGCCGUGCGCCGCCACUCCGGAGACAUCCACCGCGCCGCCCGCUUGACGAAGCUUCCCCGCGCGAAGAAGGCCCGUCGGGGCGCGCCACCCCCGCCCGCCGCCUUUGACGGCCGGGCGGCGGCGGCCAAGGAAUCGAGGAGUGGAGGGGUGCUUGGGGGCGGCUAGGGUUUCCUCCGGAGCCGCCCGCGCGAGCGGCCCGGGAGGGAGAGGGGAACUGGAGGAGUGUAUGUGAGGACCUGACGCUGGCGCCAAGGACAUGCUAUCCGCCGUGCUGCCGGGGGCGCGGCCAUACACUGGAGCUGCAGCCUCAUGUCUGUUGUUUGGGCAUGGGGCUUUCAAUGGUGAGCAUGGAUUGGGGAGACGAAGAUUAUGGGAGGACAAGGAAGGAUGAUGAUUUGAAGGUAAAAAUAAUCGACAAUGCUAGUUGAUGUGCAUAAGGAUGCUAAAAGGAUAUUUAUACCCUGUUGCAAUGCACGCUGUGGAGCAUGGCGGCGUUGGCUACUUGGCUUCCUGGUUCUCGGCCUUCAUCGGGUGGCUAGACCACACCGCACAGAAGACGAGGGUGAUGUCGGUUAGGUGCCUGGGCAACGACGAUUAGAAUGGACAGGUCGAAGUCGCAGGUGCGUGACGGCUGGAGAGGGCCGCAAGGUCCAGAGAGGGGGUGCACAGCGGAUGUGUUCUACUUCCCAUUGAGAGGAUUCUGGCCAAAUCAGAUGAUGCAGGUUUUUCCAUUGAAGAGAGCAAAUUAUUCGAAAAAACUGCAAUAUGAGAGGCUUCGUUGGUACCUUCAGAAAGUUGCAUCCCAGUGUUGUGGGUUACACCUUCUGGCGUGAAAAUCAGCUCCAUAAAAAGAAAGGUGCAUCACUAUAUUGGUGGAUAAUUUAAUUACAUAAAUGAUGUAAUGGUGCAUUUGCUUUUAGAUUUCUGUUAACCUGGUACCAAAAAGGUAAGCAUGCAUGCUCGAAAAAUCUUAGCAUUUGGGAAUCUAGCUAUUCAGGCAUCCUUGAGUGAUACAUAUUUCUUUGUACAUUGAAAUACAGUUGGACAACAAGCACCUUAUGCCAGUUGUGUUUA